rnacentral:miRNA from 1 species
CCCACAGCGGCUGCACUUGGAUGC